rnacentral:tRNA from 1 species
GGGGUUGUAGCUCAGCGGCAGAGCGCUUGCCUAGAACAUGAGAGGCACUGGGUUUGAUUCUCAGCAACACAU